GGGGCUUGACACUGCACUCAAACCAGGGAUCCUGGAGAACAGGGGACUAUCAUUUCCUCCACAAAAGCCAGGGGUUCUCCCGGGACAGGGGCUGCAUCUGCCCCAUCAGACUAUGCCUCUUAAUGAUAUAACUCACUCCAAAGGAGGAAGAACCAAGAAGCAGGGCCCAGUCCAGUCCGCAUACUGAUGAUACAGCCGCCAACAUGCAGGGCUUCCCUGGUGGCGCAGUGGUUGAGAGUCCGCCUGCCGAUGCAGGGGACACGGGUUCGUGCCCCGGUCCGGGAAGAUCCCACAUGCCGUGGAGCAGCUGGCCCAUGAGCCAUGGACGCUG